rnacentral:tRNA from 1 species
UGUUAUGUGGUGAAAUUGGUUAACGCACCCUGUCUAGCGAAUCGGGGAGACGUGGGUUUAAAUCCCGCUAGAACUA